ACAUGCAAGUCGAGCGCACCUUCGGGUGAGCGGCGGACGGGUUAGUAACGCGUGGGAACAUACCCUUUGGUACGGAAUAGCCUCUGGAAACGGAGAGUAAUACCGUAUGAGCCCUUCGGGGGAAAGAUUUAUCGCCAAAGGAUUGGCCCGCGUUAGAUUAGGUAGUUGGUGGGGUAAUGGCCUACCAAGCCUACGAUCUAUAGCUGGUUUUAGAGGAUGAUCAGCAACACUGGGACUGAGACACGGCCCAGACUCCUACGGGAGGCAGCAGUGGGGAAUCUUGGACAAUGGGGGCAACCCUGAUCCAGCCAUGCCGCGUGAGUGAUGAAGGCCUUAGGGUCGUAAAGCUCUUUCGCCUGUGAAGAUAAUGACGGUAGCAGGUAAAGAAACCCCGGCUAACUCCGUGCCAGCAGCCGCGGUAAUACGGAGGGGGUUAGCGUUGUUCGGAAUUACUGGGCGUAAAGCGCACGUAGGCGGACUGGAAAGUUGGNGGUGAAAUCCCAGGGCUCAACCCUGGAACUGCCUCCAAAACUAUCAGUCUAGAGUUCGAGAGAGGUGAGUGGAAUNCCGAGUGUAGAGGUGAAAUUCGUAGAUAUUCGGAGGAACACCAGUGGCGAAGGCGGCUCACUGGCUCGAUACUGACGCUGAGGUGCGAAAGUGUGGGGAGCAAACAGGAUUAGAUACCCUGGUAGUCCACACCGUAAA
rnacentral:rRNA from 1 species